GCCGCGGCAGCUCAGUAGGUAGAGCGCGGGACUGUUAAGGCCCGAUGAAGAGAGGGCCGCAGAUAUCCCGUGGUCCCCGGUUCAAGUCCGGGCCGCGGCG
rnacentral:tRNA from 1 species